rnacentral:rRNA from 1 species
AUGCAAUCUACCUUUUGCAGAGGGAUAGCCCAGAGAAAUUUGGAUUAAUACCUCAUAGUAUAGAACAAUCGCAUGAUUGAGCUAUUAAAGUCACAACGGCAAAAGAUGAGCAUGCGUCCCAUUAGUUAGUUGGUAAGGUAACGGCUUACCAAGACUACGAUGGGUAGGGGUCCUGAGAGGGAGAUCCCCCACACUGGUACUGAGACACGGACCAGACUCCUACGGGAGGCAGCAGUGAGGAAUAUUGGACAAUGGGCGCAAGCCUGAUCCAGCCAUGCCGCGUGCAGGAUGACGGUCCUAUGGAUUGUAAACUGCUUUUGUACAGGAAGAAACACCUCUACGUGUAGAGACUUGACGGUACUGUAAGAAUAAGGAUCGGCUAACUCCGUGCCAGCAGCCGCGGUAAUACGGAGGAUCCAAGCGUUAUCCGGAAUCAUUGGGUUUAAAGGGUCCGUAGGCGGUCUUAUAAGUCAGUGGUGAAAUCUCCCCGCUCAACGGGGCAACGGCCAUUGAUACUGUAAGACUUGAAUUAUUAGGAAGUAACUAGAAUAUGUAGUGUAGCGGUGAAAUGCUUAGAGAUUACAUGGAAUACCAAUUGCGAAGGCAGGUUACUACUAAUGGAUUGACGCUGAUGGACGAAAGCGUGGGUAGCGAACAGGAUUAGAUACCCUGGUAGUCCACGCCGUAAACGAUGGAUACUAGCUGUUGGGGGCAACUUCAGUGGCUAAGCGAAAGUGAUAAGUAUCCCACCUGGGGAGUACGUUCGCAAGAAUGAAACUCAAAGGAAUUGACGGGGGCCCGCACAAGCGGUGGAGCAUGUGGUUUAAUUCGAUGAUACGCGAGGAACCUUACCAAGGCUUAAAUGUAGAUUGACCGUUUU